rnacentral:rRNA from 1 species
AGUGAACGCUGGCGGCGUGCUUAACACAUGCAAGUCGAACGAGAACGGAUUAUAGCUUGCUAUAAUUGUCAGCUAAGUGGCGCACGGGUGAGUAAUGUAUAGGUAAUAUGCCUCUUACUAAGGGAUAACAAAUGGAAACGUUUGCUAAUACCUUAUACUCCUUAUUAACAGAAGUUAAUAAGGGAAAGAUUUAUUGGUAAGAGAUUAGCCUGUAUUGUAUCAGUUAGUUGGUGAGGUAAUGGCUUACCAAGACUAUGACACAUAACUGGUUUGAGAGGAUGAUCAGUCACACUGGAACUGAGACACGGUCCAGACUCCUACAGGAGGCAGCAGUGGGGAAUAUUGCACAAUGGACGAAAGUCUGAUGCAGCAACGCCGCGUGGAGGAUGACACAUUUCGGUGCGUAAACUCCUUUUAUAUGAGAAGAUAAUGACGGUAUUAUAUGAAUAAGCACCGGCUAACUCCAUGCCAGCCGCCGCGGUAAAAC